GUCCUCUGCUAGCUCAUCAGCUAGCUCAGCAGCCAAAGUCCUCUGCUAGCUCAUCAGCUAGCUCAUCAGGCCAAGUCCUCUGCUAGCUCAUCAGCUAGCUCAUCAGGCUAAGUCCUCUGCUAGCUCAUCAGCUAGCUCAUCAGCCGAGUCCUCUGCUAGCUUAUCAGCUAGCUCAGCAGCCAAGUCCUCUGCUAGCUCAUCAGCUAGCUCAGCAGCCAAAUCCUCUGCUAGCUUAUCAGCUAGCUCAGCAGCCAAGUCC
ensembl:lncRNA